rnacentral:rRNA from 1 species
GACGAACGCUGGCGGCGUGCUUAACACAUGCAAGUCGAACGGGAUUUAGUAAACAGAAGCCUCGGUGGAAGAUUACUAAUGAGAGUGGCGAACGGGUGAGUAACGCGUGAGCAACCUGCCUAUGACAGUGGGAUAGCCUCGGGAAACCGGGAUUAAUACCGCAUAAAAUCGUAGAAACACAUGUUUCAACGGUCAAAGAUUUAUCGGUCAUAGAUGGGCUCGCGUCUGAUUAGCUAGUUGGUGAGAUAACAGCCCACCAAGGCGACGAUCAGUAGCCGGUCUGAGAGGAUGAACGGCCACAUUGGAACUGAGACACGGUCCAAACUCCUACGGGAGGCAGCAGUGGGGAAUAUUGCACAAUGGGGGAAACCCUGAUGCAGCGACGCCGCGUGAACGAAGAAGGUAUUCGUAUCGUAAAGUUCUGUCCUAUGGGAAGAUAAUGACAGUACCAUAGAAGAAAGCUCCGGCUAAAUACGUGCCAGCAGCCGCGGUAAUACGUAUGGACCGAGCGUUGUCCGGAAUCAUUGGGCGUAAAGGGUACGUAGGCGGCCUAGUAAGUUAGAAGUGAAAUAAUAUAGCUCAACUAUAUAAAGCUUUUAAAACUGUUAGGCUUGAGAGAUGAAAGGGAAAGUGGAAUUCCUAGUGUAGCGGUGAAAUGCGCAGAUAUUAGGAAGAAUACCGGUGGCGAAGGCGACUUUCUGGUCAUCAUCUGACGCUGAGGUACGAAAGCGUGGGUAGCAAACAGG